UAAGGAAUAUUGGGCAAUGGUCGGAAGACUGACCCAGCCAUGCCGCGUGCAGGAAGAAGGCGUUUAACGUUGUAAACUGCUUUUGUCGGAGAAGAAAAGGCCCUUGCGAGGGUUACUGACGGUAUCCGGCGAAUAAGCAUCGGCUAACUACGUGCCAGCAGCCGCGGUAAUACGUAGGAUGCAAGCGUUGUCCGGAUUUAUUGGGUUUAAAGGGUGCGUAGGUGGUUUAUUAAGUCGUGGGUGAAAGUCAGCAGCUUAACUGUUGGAUUGCCUGCGAUACUGAUAGACUUGAAUGCGGUUGAGGUAGCUGGAAUGGGUGGUGUAGCGGUGAAAUGCAUAGAUACCAUCCGGAACACCAAUUGCGUAGGCAAGCUACUAAGCCGUGAUUGACACUGAGGCA
rnacentral:rRNA from 1 species